GGAUGUGAGGGCAAUCUGGCUGUGACAUCUGUCACCCCAUUGAUGGCCCCAGGUUGAUUCAGCUGAUCUGGCUGGCCAGGUGGUGUCCCCUUCCUCCUUCACUGCUCCGUGUGCCCCCCUCCCUCCCGAACUGGCGCCCUCUGUGGAAGAGCACAACUUUCCCCAAUGGAGGAGGACCAUUUUCUGGUCAAGGGCAUGCGAGUAGGUGCGCUCUCCUGCUAGAACCUCCAAACAAGCUAUCGAGGUCCAUUUGUAGGAGAAGAUAGGGUAGUUGAGAUUCCAAGACUCCAGACACAUUCAAAUGAAGCUCUUUGUUUU
ensembl:misc_RNA 7SK 7SK RNA